GAUGAACGCUGACAGAAUGCUUAACACAUGCAAGUCCACUUGAACUUCGGUUUGGGUGGCGGACGGGUGAGUAACGCGUAAAGAACUUGCCUCACAGAUAGGGACAACAUUUGGAAACGAAUGCUAAUACCUGAUAUUAUGAUUAUAUGGCAUCGUAUAAUUAUGAAAGCUAUAUGCGCUGUGAGAGAGCUUUGCGUCCCAUUAGCUAGUUGGAGAGGUAACGGCUCACCAAGGCGAUGAUGGGUAGCCGGCCUGAGAGGGUGAUCGGCCACAAGGGGACUGAGACACGGCCCUUACUCCUACGGGAGGCAGCAGUGGGGAAUAUUGGACAAUGGACCAAGAGUCUGAUCCAGCAAUUCUGUGUGCACGAUGAAGUUUUUCGGAAUGUAAAGUGCUUUCAGUUGGGAAGAAAAAAAUGACGGUACCAACAGAAGAAGAGACGGCUAAAUACGUG
rnacentral:rRNA from 1 species